UACGGAGGAUGCGAGCGUUAUCCGGAUUUAUUGGGUUUAAAGGGUGCGUAGGUUGUUUUUUAAGUCAGCGGUGAAAGUUUGUGGCUCAACCAUAAAAUUGCCGUUGAAACUGGAAGACUUGAGUGGGCGAGAAGUAUGCGGAAUGCGUGGUGUAGCGGUGAAAUGCAUAGAUAUCACGCAGAACCCCGAUUGCGAAGGCAGCAUACCGGCGCCCUACUGACGCUGAGGCACGAAAGUGCGGGUAUCGAACAGG
rnacentral:rRNA from 1 species